rnacentral:misc_RNA from 1 species
GCAAACUUGGUCAUUUAGAGGAAGUAAAAGUCGUAACAAGGUUUCCGUAGGUGAACCUGCGGAAGGAUCAUUACUGAGUGAGGGCCCUCUGGGUCCAACCUCCCACCCGUGUUUAUUGUACCUUGUUGCUUCGGCAGGCCCGCCUUACGGCCGCCGGGGGGCUUCUGCCCCCGGGCCCGCGCCUGCCGGAGACAAUCUUGAACGCUGUCUGAAGAAUGCAGUCUGAGCGAUUAAGCAAAAUUAGUUAAAACUUUCAACAACGGAUCUCUUGGUUCCGGCAUCGAUGAAGAACGCAGC